GACGAACGCUGGCGGCGUGCUUAACACAUGCAAGUCGAACGGAAAGGCCCUGCUUUUGUGGGGUGCUCGAGUGGCGAACGGGUGAGUAACACGUGAGUAACCUGCCCUUGACUUUGGGAUAACUUCAGGAAACUGGGGCUAAUACCGGAUAGGAGCUCCUGCUGCAUGGUGGGGGUUGGAAAGUUUCGGCGGUUGGGGAUGGACUCGCGGCUUAUCAGCUUGUUGGUGGGGUAGUGGCUUACCAAGGCUUUGACGGGUAGCCGGCCUGGGAGGGUGACCGGCGACAUUGGGACUGAGAGACGGCGCAGACUCCUACGGGAGGCAGCAGUGGGGAAUAUUGCACAAUGGGCGGAAGCCUGAUGCAGCAACGCCGCGUGCGGGAUGACGGCCUUCGGGUUGUAAACCGCUUUCGCCUGUGACGAAGCGUGAGUGACGGUAAUGGGUAAAGAAGCACCGGCUAACUACGUG
rnacentral:rRNA from 1 species